AAUCCAUAGGUUAAUGAGGCGAACCGGGGGAACUGAAACAUCUAAGUACCCCGAGGAAAAGAAAUCAACCGAGAUUCCCCCAGUAGCGGCGAGCGAACGGGGAGGAGCCCAGAGCCUGAAUCAGCAUGUGUGUUAGUGGAAGCGUCUGGAAAGGCGCGCGAUACAGGGUGACAGCCCCGUACACAAAAGCGCAUGUGCUGUGAGCUCGAUGAGUAGGGCGGGACACGUGGUAUCCUGUCUGAAUAUGGGGGGACCAUCCUCCAAGGCUAAAUACUCCUGACUGACCGAUAGUGAACCAGUACCGUGAGGGAAAGGCGAAAAGAACCCCGGCGAGGGGAGUGAAAAAGAACCUGAAACCGUGUACGUACAAGCAGUGGGAGCCCCACCACCAAAGCAUUCUCUGGUGUUGAAGGCCCUGCAAAGCAGCAUCGCGGUGGCGGAGCGUCGUUUGCGACGCCCAACACACAAAACAAGCGGUGAGUGCUUUGGGGUGGGGUGACUGCGUACCUUUUGUAUAAUGGGUCAGCGACUUAUAUUCUGUAGCAAGGUUAACCGUAUAGGGGAGCCGCAGGGAAACCGAGUCUUAAU
rnacentral:rRNA from 1 species